ACGGGUGAGUAACACGUGGGGACCUACCCUUUGGUGUGGGAUACCGCCGAGAAAUCGGCGCUAAUACCGCAUACGACCAUCGCCAUAGAGGGUGAUGAGGAAACGGGAAACCGGCCAUUGGAGGGCCUUGCGGCGGAUUAGCUAGUUGGUGGGGUAAAGGCCUACCAAGGCGACGAUCCGUAGCUGGUCUGAGAGGACGAUCAGCCACACCGGGACUGAGACACGGCCCGG
rnacentral:rRNA from 1 species